CAAAAUAAAACGCCAAAGAGUAAAUGCUUUAGAGUUUCAUCGGGAUUAUUCCUAAUUUCGUACACAAAUUUAACUCAUGCGUUAUUGUUUCUCAAUUAAUAAGCAAUCGCAAUCACUCUCUCAUCUAAUUUCACUCAUUUAAGAUAAACUCAAAACAGAAAUUCAAGUCACACAAUCGACAUCACGAACUUACUGGUUGAAUUUUUCAUCCUCGCUAUACGAUAGCAACACAAUGCGAUCACCCAACGCCACCGCGAGCUCGCCAACGGACGGCGUCGCAGGGGACCAACACACGGCUGAGACGUGAGCGUCGGCCUCUCGAGAUAGCUCGAUCACUUGCCGAUAUAUCGGCCCGAUUCUCGUUUCGGCCUCUGAUUGAGGGUCUGGGAAGUGAGAUAUGACUACGAGAGAGGCGGCGCCGUAGGCGAUCCAUGAGUGCCCGGCGAAGUCAGCAGGAAAUCGGCGGCCGCCGCGGAUCCGGAGCCGGAUCGUGAGGGGGCGGGCGGAAUAAUCUCGGAUUUGAUUAAGUGGAGCGGUAAGCGGGAGGCGACAUCGAGCGGCGGCGGCGGGGGACGAGUAGCCUCCGCCAUUAUCGGAAUUAGCUGCGAGAUGUGUCGAGUGACACUUUAGUUGUGUGCAAAAUAGGGGCUGAAUAGAUCAAUCGUACGCGAUAAUGUGGACAACGAUUAGUUGAACUUGCAUAGCAGAUUUUGUAUUGUAUCUUUGUUGCCUAAUUAACAUUUGUAAAUUGCAAUGUCUCAAUAACAC
rnacentral:lncRNA from 1 species